UACGUAGGGUGCAAGCGUUGUCCGGAUUUAUUGGGCGUAAAGAGCUCGUAGGCGGCUUGGCAAGUCGGGUGUGAAAACUUCAGGCUCAACCUGGAGAUGCCACUCGAUACUGCUAUGGCUUGAGUCUGGUAGGGGAGCACGGAAUUCCUGGUGUAGCGGUGAAAUGCGCAGAUAUCAGGAGGAACACCGAUGGCGAAGGCAGGUCACUGGGCCGCAACUGACGCUGAGGAGCGAAAGCAUGGGGAGCGAACAGG
rnacentral:rRNA from 1 species